rfam:Sinorhizobium meliloti 1021 complete chromosome
CCUCUUCGAUCUGCUGCGGGCAGAUGAAAUGUAUAUGGCUGUCCAUGCCCCCGGCCGUGACGAUCUUGCCCUCGCCGGCGAUGACCUCCGUGCCCGGGCCGACGAUAAUGGUGACGCCCGGCUGCAUGUCCGGAUUGCCGGCCUUGCCUAUUGCCGCGAUCCGCCCGUCCUUCAGCCCGAUAUCCGCCUUCACGAUCCCCCAAUGAUCGAGGAUAAGCGCAUUGGUGAUCACCGUGUCGACCGCGCCGCCUUCGCGCGUCACCUGGCUUUGGCCCAUGCCGUCACGGAUG